rnacentral:rRNA from 1 species
UACAGAGGUGCCAAGCGUUAGGCGGAAUCACUGGGCUUAAAGCGCGUGUAGGCGGGUCGUUAAGUGUCCGCGUGAAAUCCCACGGCUCAACCGUGGAACUGCCGGGCAUACUGGCGAUCUUGAGGCAUUCAGGGGCGAGUGGAACAAAUGGUGGAGCGGUGAAAUGCGUAGAUAUCAUUUGGAACGCCAAUGGUGAAAACAGCUCGCUGGGGAUGUACUGACGCUGAGACACGAAAGCCAGGGGAGCAAACGGG